rnacentral:tRNA from 1 species
GCCGGGAUGGCAGAGUGGUAAUGCGCACGCCUGGAAAGCGUGUGGUCGAAAGACCUCCCGAGUUCGAAUCUCGGUCCCGGCG